rnacentral:sRNA from 1 species
AAAAAGUAGUGACAGUGAACGUCGGUGUGUGUUUGAAAAGUGGGAAAUAAAAAUAUGGAUUUGGUAUGUUAUUCUCAGCAAGGCGGUUUAAAUCAGUGUCAAUCCGGUCGCCUAUUUUGACAAUGCCAAACUAUCCUCGGGGCCUUGACGUGGCAGUGAGAGUGGAAUUUAAGCGAAUCCAUUGGGUACCCAUUUUCGCAAAUUUUGUUUAAAUUUGACCAUUUCGGUUUGUUUUCGUCGAAUCCAGCUAUGAAAAUCCUUCAAAAUGUGUGCAUUUUAUUGUUUUUCGCUGUAAAUUGAAAAUUUUCAUCGAUUACGUAAUCAAAAAUUCUUGGGUGCAAAGUUUUCCCAACUGGAUUUCCGACCAUAUUCCUUGGGUUUUUAGCCCGCCAAAUAGUUGCCGGUAAACAAAAUCCUCGCACUUUCCUCAAAUUCGAUCGAAAAAUUGAUUGUAAACGCUUUUUACUGGAAUAAAACCCAUUUGUCGGUCA